GACGAACGCUGGCGGCGUGCUUAACACAUGCAAGUCGAACGGAAAGGCCCUGCAUUUGUGGGGUGCUCAAGUGGCGAACGGGUGAGUAACACGUGAGUAAACUGCCCUUGACUUUGGGAUAACUUCAGGAAACUGGGGCUAAUACCGGAUAGGAGCUCCUGCUGCAUGGUGUGGGUUGGAGAGUUUCGGCGGUUGGGGAUGGACUCGCGGCUUAUCAGCUUGUUGGUGGGGUAGUGGCUUACCAAGGCUUUGACGGGUAGCCGGCCUGAGAGGGUGACCGGCCACAUUGGGACUGAGAUACGGCCCAGACUCCUACGGGAGGCAGCAGUGGGGAAUAUUGCACAAUGGGCGGAAGCCUGAUGCAGCAACGCCGCGUGCGGGAUGACGGCCUUCGGGUUGUAAACCGCUUUCGCCUGUGACGAAGCGUGAGUGACGGUAAUGGGUAAAGAAGCACCGGCUAACUACGUG
rnacentral:rRNA from 1 species